rnacentral:lncRNA from 1 species
GAGGCAGCCCACAUCCAGGCUGACACUGGACAACAAACACUGGAACGUCCACCCCUGCUGCCAGAAGCUCCAGUUGUCACUGUCAUCUGCCAAGAAAAAAAACUAUAAAUAAAAGACUCCAUGUGGCUCCUACUUUUCAGUUCCCUCUUCGAUGUGGGGUACCGGAUGGGCAGAGCCUGUCAUGGGCCUGCCGAGGAGCCAGGAUCACCAGGCCUCCGCUUUCCAGUGCCAGGGUUUGAAAGCAGAGCUCCAAACAGACAUGCUCUCUCUAAGGAAGCGACAUAUAAGUCAAGCAUGAAAGAUGAAGAGGAGCAGAUUGUAUGCAGAGCAGAGGGAAGAGCAAGCUGAUGGAGGAGACUAACCAGUGAGCUUGAUGGCUCACUUGCCUUUUUGCUUUUCUGGCAUGUUAUGAUGUGGUACUAAAGCCCUUGCCAGAAGCUGCUGCCAUGCCCUUGGACUUCCCAGUCUCCAGAACCAUGAGCCAAAUAAACUUCUUUCCGC